GGGCCUGUGGCGCAACGGAUAACGCGUCUGACUACGGAUCAGAAGAUUCCAGGUUCGAAUCCUGGCGCGCAGGCUCG
rnacentral:tRNA from 1 species